UUUAAUAUUUAAAGUCUAGUCUGCUCAAUGAAAUUUAAAUGGCCGCAGUAUUUUGACUGUGCAAAGGUAGCAUAAUCAUUAGUUUCUUUAUUAGGAACUCGUAUGAAUGGCUGGAUGAGAAAUGUGCUGUCUCUAUAUAAUUUUACAAUAAUUUUAUUUUUAAGUUAAAAAGCUUAAAUAUUUAUUAAAGACGAGAAGACCCUAUAGAGUUUGAUUUAUUUAAUUUUAUAAUUUAUUAAGAAUUUAGAUUUUAUAUGAUUAAUUAAAUUUUGUUGGGGUGACAGGAAUAAUUAAUAAACUUUUCUUUUUUAUAACAUUUAUUUAUGAUUUGUUGAUCCAAUAUUUUUGAUUAUAAGAUUAAAUUACCUUAGGGAUAACAGCGUAAUUUUUUUUGAGAGUUCUUAUCGAAAAAGGAGAUUGCGACCUCGAUGUUGGAUUAAAAUUUAGGGUUGGCGUAGAAGUUAACCUUUUGAGUCUGUUCGACUUUUAAAAUUUUACGUGAUCUGA
rnacentral:rRNA from 1 species